GACGAAGGGGGCUAGCGUUAAUCGGAAUUACUGGGCGUAAAGCGUGCGCAGGCGGUUGUGCAAGACAGAUGUGAAAUCCCCGGGCUCAACCUGGGAACUGCAUUUGUGACUGCAUAGCUGGAGUGCGGCAGAGGGGGAUGGAAUUCCGCGUGUAGCAGUGAAAUGCGUAGAUAUGCGGAGGAACACCGAUGGCGAAGGCAAUCCCCUGGGCCUGCACUGACGCUCAUGCACGAAAGCGUGGGGAGCAAACAGG
rnacentral:rRNA from 1 species